rnacentral:piRNA from 1 species
UACCAACUGCAAAACUCGGGUAAGGUCUGC